rnacentral:lncRNA from 1 species
UGAAGGCACUUAGGACCAAAUGGGUUCAUCAUCCUUGUCAAAGAGCCUGCAUACAGGUUAUUCCAAGCUUCACCUGGGUUUGUGAACUUCAAGGUGUCUACCACAUAAAUCUUUGGUGACUGAAAUACGGAACAGCCUGGAUUCAAGUCCUCUUGACUUUGCUCUUACUUAAGACACUUGGGUUUUUGUAAGUUUUUGAAAUAAAAACAUGGCUUGUGAUUCCUUGAAUGAUUCUCUCAAAUCGCUCAUAUGUGUAAGUGGUUCCUUACCAAGACAUAGAAGAUUGAUGCCUUCUUAUGAUCUUCCUACCUCUAAAAGUUUUAUCUGGAUUUUUGCGUAGGUAUAAAAGGUGGGCAUACUUUCAGCACAUAUGUUGCGAAGUCAAAAACCGGACCACCAGUAGAUACAAGCCUUAUGCCUUGAUUCAGAUUGUGCAAAUGUGUGGAAAUUGUUUGUGGCAUUGAUGGAAAUCCUAAUUCUAAAUAUUUUUUGUCACUCCUUUCUACAUCAUGACUCUCUUUUAUUUUGAAGGAUAAAAGAGAGAGAGAGAGAGGAAAACAUAUGGGCUCUAUCUUGUGUAUAUUUCUCCAUCUUUUCUUUUUUUCAUGACGGGGACAUUUGAUUUUUUUUCCCAUCUAUGCCUCUUUGUUUUUUUCCUUUGAAUUUUUUUUCAACUAUAGCCCAUAUGUCUUGAUGAAUGGAAUCAGAGAAAUUUAAAGAGAUGUCAUGAGGACAAAAAGUAAGGAGUGAAUUUGGGGAUGCACAAAUCUCAGGAUGAGAGUUUAGCAUUUUUAUUUGGUGGAAAGCUAAGGCACAACUCUCAGGAUAAGAGUUGGCAAAAUUUUUGGUGGAUGGAAGGGUGCAUGUUGUGCGCGACUUCUUAGUGUAAGAGUCGGCUUUAUUUGGUGGGUGUAAGUGAAUCUCUAAUCAUGGGCGUAAGACCAUAAUCUCGCUUGGGUCACAACAAUUUGACAAAGCUCAAUAUACUACAAGCAGCAUAUGACUGAAGGUUUCAUCAUGAUCAACGUAUAUUUGGCGUUGGUAGGUGAAAGCUUAAAACCAUUAAAGGAAACUUGCCAUGUGUAACUUUUGUUUUUGAUAAAAUAAAUCCCAAGUACUUUGUAAGAAUUUAGCAAGAAUCAUGUCAUCCUACUAUAUCACAUAUGUCAAUUACUUAGAUAAAGUGGGGUCCCUACUACAAGUGUUCAUAACCUCAAGGAUAUUAGCAAGGAUUAAACCAUAUGCAAAAGCAAAUUUGAAACUAGGAGACAUGUUAAACGGAGUUUGAAGGUAACAAUAUUUAAAAUAUUUUAUUUUUGAAAAACUUUUUAGAAGGGGGAGAAGGUUGUGCAAACCGAGUUCUCGAAGAUUCCCUCCCCCACACUUGUUUUCUUCUCUGUCAUGGUUAGUCAUAAUAUAUAAAGAAAACAAGUGCUCAUGAUAACUCAGAAAUAUUAUUGAUAACUUUGAAAAGGCACAUUACAUUAUUGAAGGGAAAUAAAUUAAGCAACAAAGAAGAUCAUGCUUGUGCCUAAACAAAGAGAAGCGUGCAGCAGAUGUGGUCUAAAGAUUUUCCACGAGGCGACCAACACCUAGGUCUUCAGCGACCUUUCUCAGCUUAUUGUUGAACCUGAAACGAAACCUAUUGAUAUCGUCGCUGAGGUUCCUAAUCUCAGUAUGCUUCUCUUCUAGGUCGUCUUCUAAAACCCUUAGGAC